rnacentral:lncRNA from 7 species
CUUCCAGAGUACAAAGCAGGCAAGAAUAAAAUAUCUUUGAAGAAAGCACUGAGGUCAUUCUCAUAGCAAAAGACUGGAAUGCUUAUCUUAAGGCAUAUAAUAAUUAUGUGGUAAUGGACAGACAGAGGAAUGCCAUUCAAGCCAAUCCUAGCGCCAAAGUGUGUAAAGUUAUUCAUGCAUACAAGUGUUGAGACUGGGCUGGGUAAGAUUCUGCUCACCAAUGUUUAUGCAAUUAGUCCAUAAAAUGGUGGUGAUUCCCAAUAAAAUAAGCCUCAAGUGGCUGCAAGGAAUGCAGAACUCCAUGAAGUUUGAGAGCAUCCUUUGGUCUUUGACCAGGGGACCUCCCAGAAUCAGAAUGCCAGCAUGUCUGAGGCAGAGAAGCCACCCUUUGACACUGGAAACUCAGUGGUCCUAACCUUAAAGCUCUGCAAGAAAUUGAGUUGGAUCCUCAGGAGCAGAUGGGCUAAACAGAUCCAUGUUGUCAACUUCCUUAGCCAAUUGCGUCUGCCAAAAAUCUUGUCUUUAAUUUGCACACAGACAGUAUAUUUCCAAACAAAAAUAAAAUAAAUAAAAAUAAAAAGAAUAGAAAAUCUUAGGCAGAAAAACAGCUGUACUCAUUUGUGCUGUAAACCAGCUGAGUCAGCCCCUGAAUCAAGCCCUAAUUAAUUUGUGCACAUGGUGUAGCCAACAAAGAGUGGCAACAGACAGAGGAAUGGACUGUGUUGAGGGUGUUUAAUCUCUAACAGAAAAGACGCCUGAGAGAGGGAGCUUGAUGACAGCUAAUUGCUGCCCAAAGGACCAAAAUAAUGGGCAGCCUGUGAGAGAGAGAAAAAUGAACGGGCUGGUGGAAGUAGUCAUCAGGUGUUUGCAGUGAUUAAGUUCAUUGUCCACACUGUUUACUUUGGUGUUCAGCAUUAAUGUCCAUUUGGAACUGGCACAGUAAGGAGCCUUGUUAAAAUAAUAAGAUCUUAGUGUGUGAUGUAUUGAUGGAGUCAGAACUCUACGCAAGUGCCCCUGUCACAGUGGAUAUUCAGUCUGAAUGGCAUGUAGGGUUCGUGCACCGGGAGCCUUGGAAAGAGCUGGAUAGCCUGAUGUUUUCACACCGCAGCUCCUGCAGACACUUAACAUCUGCACUUAAUACAACUUCCUCUAAUGCUAACUGUUUAAGUGAGUGAUGGCUGAAGAGAUUUUUUGCCCUUUAAGAUUUGUUCAGUCUGUUAACAUCCUAGGUUUUUUUUAAUCGCAGAUAUAUGGCACAGUGCUACCAAACCACUAGAAGCUUAAAUGUUUUUCUGCACUAUCUUGCAAGUGCCUUUCUAGAGGUGGACUUUAAAUACUGUUCUGUGGCUGCACCUAAAAUUGUGAUAAUGAAUGUUUAGUAUUUGAUAAACAGCUUAUUAUCCUAACCUUACGAUUUCUUGUACAAAUGUGUUAAUAUUUGUUUUAAAAAAAACUUGCAACACUACUACUCUAGUCCAAGUACAUUGCCAGCAAUAAGUGACACUGAAAUUCAAGCACUGAAAACAGAUGGACUGCAAAAUCUGAACUCUGGUCUCGUAAAUGUAUUUAAUAUUUUGCUUUGCAUGUCUACUACAGAGGACAGACAUAAACUGUCAGAAAAUUGCAGAACAGUGCUUUCUAGAAGAACAAGUAGCAAUUCCAAAAACAAAACAAAAUACAUCUCUGUGAUUAGAGUGCCAUCCCACUCCAAAAGAGACAUGAGAAUGCCAUACGUAAUGUAUAUUAUAGAGACUGAACAAUCCAUGGAAACAUGUUCAUCCAUAUAUAGACAUAUGAGUGGUUUAUUAACAAUAAAUGUCAGCAGUGAUUGAUAAUAGAUGAGGUAAGCUAUCAGAUAUUUAAAAUUCAAUCCUUAAAAAAGAAGAGCAAAAAGGGAAAAUCCUGUUGUUCAUAUAGUUCCAGUAAGAAAUAAGAGUGUAGAAGAGUAUGAAAUAAUGGUGCAAGAGCUACCAUCAACUAGCAAGAAUGUUAAUUCAAACCUAGCAUAGUAAGACAAUUUAAAUCUGCAAGAUUGGAAAACUUAUAUUCACCAUAUAUAGAAGAAAACCAAUGGAUUUUCUCAUUCAUUUUUUCUUGAUUUGUAAAAAACAUAGGCAUAAUGUCCUGACAUUAAAAAAAAAAAAUAAUAAGAUAGUGUAUUUUGAGUAAUAAAGAUGGCUAAUCUUCUGAAGAAAGCUGUGGAAAAUCUCAUAACAGGCAUAGUCCAGUAACAAAGCAUGUUUAUAGAAUCAAUGGCAGACAAUAAAGUUAUCUGUACUGACAUCAUAAAGAAUGUAAGGGCUCAGUACUGUGUUGUAUUAUGGUUAAAAAUACUUUAAUAAAAAAUACCAUAAUGCCUGUAUUGAAGAAAUUAAACUGAUCUUCAAACUCUAAUUCCAAAAGGAAAAUUUACACCCAAAGGUGGCGGAAAGUCUAGUUAGAUCCUGCCAGUUCCUGUUCUUAAGUGACCUGUGCUAGUUUUCUAUUGUGGUCAAGAUAAUUAAAUCAUUGCUCAUGAAAUCAUAAUGAUAAUAAUAAUAAUAAUGACAAUAAAACUCUGAGGAAAAGUUUGCCUGAUAAUGAAUGUCUAAGAUUUCAGAAUUUGCCUUCAUUCCAAGUAGGGAAGAAAAAUUAUGAACCCAUAUAUUCUGU